AUUUCCCUAUCCCCAGCUCCCACAUCAGUGCUUGGCACCUGGUAAGCACUCAGUAACUACUUAGUGAGUGCCUGCUGUGUGCCAAGGCAUUGUGCUGAGGCUUUGGGGGGAUUUAGCUC
rnacentral:precursor_RNA from 14 species